rnacentral:siRNA from 1 species
CCAAGUGGGCCAUUUUUGGUAAGC